GAUAGCUCAGCUCAAAGAGCAUGUGACUCUUAAUCUCAGGUUUGUGGGUUCAAUUGCCACUGCA